UGGGGAAUAUUGGACAAUGGGCGAAAGCCUGAUCCAGCAAUGCCGCGUGAGUGAUGAAGGCCUUAGGGUUGUAAAGCUCUUUUACCCGGGAUGAUAAUGACAGUACCGGGAGAAUAAGCUCCGGCUAACUCCGUGCCAGCAGCCGCGGUAAUACGGAGGGAGCUAGCGUUGUUCGGAAUUACUGGGCGUAAAGCGUACGUAGGCGGCUUUGUAAGUAAGAGGUGAAAGCCUGGAGCUCAACUCCAGAACUGCCUUUUAGACUGCAUCGCUUGAAUCCGGGAGAGGUGAGUGGAAUUCCGAGUGUAGAGGUGAAAUUCGUAGAUAUUCGGAAGAACACCAGUGGCGAAGGCGGCUCACUGGACCGGCAUUGACGCUGAGGUACGAAAGCGUGGGGAGCAAACA
rnacentral:rRNA from 1 species